UGGGGAAUAUUGGACAAUGGGCGCAAGCCUGAUCCAGCCAUGCCGCGUGAGUGACGAAGGUCUUCGGAUUGUAAAGCUCUUUUGGCGGGGACGAUAAUGACGGUACCCGCAGAAUAAGCCCCGGCUAACUUCGUGCCAGCAGCCGCGGUAAUACGAAGGGGGCCAGCGUUGUUCGGAAUUACUGGGCGUAAAGCGCACGUAGGCGGACUGAUAAGUCAGGGGUGAAAUCCCGGGGCUCAACCUCGGAACUGCCUUUGAUACUGUUAGUCUCGAGUCCGGAAGAGGUGAGUGGAAUUCCUAGUGUAGAGGUGAAAUUCGUAGAUAUUAGGAAGAACACCAGUGGCGAAGGCGGCUCACUGGUCCGGUACUGACGCUGAGGUGCGAAAGCGUGGGGAGCAAACAGGAUUAGAUACCCCCGUAGUCCCUGAGCGGGCUGGCAAGGCGCAU
rnacentral:rRNA from 1 species